ensembl:lncRNA
AUGAGACGGAGUGAGUCCAGUAGCCUUCUCGGUGGGCAAAGCUUUGACGGUGCAGGACGAUCUCAGGGGACAAGGCCAAUAAGCCCCUUGCAAAACAAACAGGGUCAAGGUUUUGAGUCAGGAACUCUGCCAAGAAACUUCAAAUCACUUGCAAGUUCAGUCAAAUCCCAGUCCAACACAGUUUCUGAUUUUAGAAGUGCUUUGCGGAAAAACGAAGUUAACAGUUCUUCAAGUGGACGGGGUUCUGAUGUUAGAAGCUCAUCUCCUCCAAGGAGGGAUCAUAAUUCUUCAUUUCAAAUUCCUCGUAAUACUGAAGGCAUCACUAGUUUAUCUCAAGGCCACGGAGGCAGCAGUCGGGCUUCCUCUCCAUCUAGAAGAACCUCUGAACGUAUGCGUGACAGUCACUUUUCUUCACUACCAAGUAGGAAUUUUAGCAGAAACCUCCUUCGUAAAUCUGAAUCAGCCAUGUCUCUAAAUGAACAUAGCCACCAUGGACGCUGUGGUUCUCCAAUUAGAGAAGGAUAUAGUAUUGAAGGUCAGACUGAGUUGCGUAACCAGUUGUGUAGAAAUGGACUGAAUGAUCAAGAAUAUGGACAAGUUGAAGAACCCACCAUGCCUCUGUCUAGACAAGGCAAUGAUAGACAGAGACCAUCCAUACUUCGCAAAACUGAAUCAAACACUGUUGGUAGCAGUCGAGAUUGGGGCAGCUGUUCGUCCUCUCCAGGAAGAAGGGGCCAUGAGACCCUCAAACAGCAUCAGCUUAGGAGUAGAGACCUUAGUAGUGGUUCAGUAAAUGGUUAUGGGCAUAAAACACGCAACUCUUCACCUUCCAGGAGAAACUAUGAAGCACCUUCUCAAUCUUUGCUUCACAAGUCUAAAGUUAACAGCUCUGUCAGAAGCCAUGACAGCUACAGUGCCUCAAGUCUAAGGAAAACCUAUGAUGCUUCUGACCAACGCACAUCUACUAAUAUAAAAACUGGUAGCUCCCUAAGCAGCAGGAACCAAAGCAUCAGCAGCUACUCUCCUUCUCGAAAAGGCAAUAAUGACCCACCAGGGUAUUCAUUGCUCCAAAGUGCCACCAAUGGGGACUCCAGUUAUUCAUUUCAGAGAAAAAACUCUGCUAUUGAAACCAAAUCAAACUCAAGUAGCUCACCACACACACGUCAAGGCUCUACUCAUUCCCAACUUUGUUCCUCCUUAUCUUGGUCCACUUCAAAACAAUCAACGAUUGGCAACCGAACUGCUCAUGUCACUUUGGAAACAACAAGAAAUUCUAGUAGCAUCAGAUCUGCACAUGGCAUGUACAGAGAAGAGGAUUGCCACCCUGCUCCUAAAAACAACCCCUCCGUCCGUGCACAAAGCCCUUCUCCUUCGCCUCAGAUUGACAGGAGGUCCUCUCACCGUACACAAAGUCCCUCUCCUUCAUCUCAGAUUGACAGGAGGUUCCCUCACCGUACACAAAGUCCCUCUCCUUCACCUCAGAUUGACAGGAGGUCCUCUCACCGUACACAAAGUCCCUCUCCUUCAUCUCAACUUGAUAAGAGGCCUUCCCACUGGAAACAGAGCCCUUUUCUGCCUCCAUCUGACAACAGGCCUUCCCAUCAAGCACAGAACCGUCCUCCACUGGCUCAGUUUGACAAGAGGCCUUCCCAUCGAGCACGCAGCUCUUCUCCACCACCACAAAUUCAAAUCCAAAGCCACACUUCUUCACAGAGCUCCUUGGAGUCCUCAGAGUCGGGUCGAACCUCAGUGGGAUCAACAGGACGAAACAAGGAGGAGUACGCCAUGAUGGCCGACCUGCCGAAGAUCAAAAUGAUCCAUCAGGUGGAAGAACCAGGCCACGCAGGGCGGCCACUGACCAACCAGCCUAUGCGGAGGCAGGAACUCUUUAAACCUGCCAGGUCAGACUGA